rnacentral:rRNA from 1 species
UACGUAGGGUGCAAGCGUUGUCCGGAAUUAUUGGGCGUAAAGAGCUCGUAGGCGGUCAGUCGCGUCUGCUGUGAAAACUCGGGGCUUAACUCCGGGCCUGCAGUGGGUACGGGCUGACUAGAGUGCGGUAGGGGAGACUGGAAUUCCUGGUGUAGCGGUGAAAUGCGCAGAUAUCAGGAGGAACACCGAUGGCGAAGGCAGGUCUCUGGGCUGUAACUGACGCUGAGGAGCGAAAGCAUGGGGAGCGAACAGG